CCUACGGGAGGCUGCAGUGAGGAAUAUUGGUCAAUGGACGAGAGUCUGAACCAGCUAAGUAGCGUGAAGGAUGACUGCCCUAUGGGUUGUAAACUUCUUUUAUAAAGGAAUAAAACGAGGCACGUGUGCCUUUUUGCAUGUACUUUAUGAAUAAGGAUCGGCUAACUCCGUGCCAGCAGCCGCGGUAAUACGGAGGAUCCGAGCGUUAUCCGGAUUUAUUGGGUUUAAAGGGAGCGUAGAUGGGUUGUUAAGUCAGUUGUGAAAGUUUGCGGCUCAACCGUAAAAUUGCAAUUGAUACUGGCAGUCGUGAGUACAGUUGAGGUAGGCGGAAUUCGUGGUGUAGCGGUGAAAUGCUUAGAUAUCACGAAGAACCCCGAUUGCGAAGGCAGCUUACUAAACUGUGACUGACAUUGAUGCUCGAAAGUGUGGGUAUCAAACAGGAUUAGAUACCCUUGUAGUC
rnacentral:rRNA from 1 species